rnacentral:rRNA from 1 species
CACGUAGGCGGCUUGGUAAGUUGGAUGUGAAAUCCCUCGGCUUAACCAAGGAAGUGCAUCCAAAACUACUGAGCUUGAGUACUAAAGAGGAUCGCGGAAUUCCCGGUGUAGAAGUGAAAUUCGUAGAUAUCGGGAGGAACACCAGUGGCGAAGGCGGCGAUCUGGGUAGAUACUGACGCUGAGGUGCGAAAGCGUGGGGAGCAAACA